UGAGUCUUAACUGCAGAUGAAGUGUCUGGAAAUCAUGGUAUUCAAGGUAUGGUCUACAUUGCCUGCCGGCCUACAAUCAAGAUCUGCAAGUCAGAGCAAAACACCAGCUGUCCCUGUCUCCUGCACCCAUCCCCAUUCCACUCUAUCUGGGGCAUAUGGAGGAAGAGAACACAGACAUUGGUGAUGAAAAACCCCGUGAGUAUUUUGCCACAGGUAAAAUUGUUACCCAAGACAUGGCAUU
rnacentral:lncRNA from 10 species